CCUACGGGAGGCAGCAGUGAGGAAUAUUGGUCAAUGGACGCAAGUCUGAACCAGCCAUGCCGCGUGCAGGAAGACGGCUCUAUGAGUUGUAAACCGCUUUUGUACGAGGGUAAAUCCCGAUACGUGUAUCGGGCUGAAAGUAUCGUACGAAUAAGGAUCGGCUAACUCCGUGCCAGCAGCCGCGGUAAUACGGAGGAUUCAAGCGUUAUCCGGAUUUAUUGGGUUUAAAGGGUGCGUAGGCGGUUCGAUAAGUUAGAGGUGAAAUCCCGGGGCUCAACCCCGGCAGUGCCUCUGAUACUGUCGGGCUAGAGUUGAGGUGCGGUAGGCGGAAUGUGUGGUGUAGCGGUGAAAUGCAUAGAGAUCAUACAGAACACCGAUUGCGAAGGCAGCGUACC
rnacentral:rRNA from 1 species